UAGGAUACAAAGAAAGCCUGCAGCUACCAGGUCCACGGGCUGAUAGCCCCACCUCUACGGAGAAGGCUACACGGCGCAUGCUCGAAGGGCGUGACAAGGGGCGGGGCGAGAAGGAAGGGGCGGGGCUGAGGGGAGGGGUGGGGCAGAAGAAAGGGGCCGUGUGCGCCCACAUACUGGAGGAUCAACAUUAUCAUGGCAACCCUGAGGAGGCUGUGAGAGUCUCUGGGGUCCUUGCCGGCCUGCAGAAAAUCAAGCUUUGAGCGGGAAGCUUCGAGGAGACACAGUGUCACAAUUACAAGGUGAGACCAGAUGCCCUGGCCCCGCUGUCUCCUCGCAGGCAGGAGAGGUUUGGGAACACCCACGCUUCCCUCAGCAAGGCAGAACUGCACUGGACGCAUGGAAGUGUGAUUUGGAAAGCGGGACCUUCGUACGGAAUGUUCGGAGUUGUAGUAUCUGUUCUACUCCCAGCCUGUUGGUUCUAGGGCUGCGGACUAUAAUCCCAGCAUGCACUGGGUUUGGGUAAGAGACUGAAGCAUCCAGGUGAAGAACUGGCAUUGCUUCUACCUGUGGAGAGAGGACACCUGUAGGCUGCACGAUUGACUGUGAAUUUAGGAGGAGGAUUAAAAGUUACCUGGCAAACAGUAGGCACCCUACAAAUACUGAUUUUUCCCCCUCCUUUAAAAAGUUUGAUCUCUUGUUAGAUGGUGUUGAGUAAUACAGAAAUGGCAGGUAUGCAUGUGAUUGGUGCUUAAAUGCACACAGUUCCCCAUACCACAAGAGGAAACACACCACAGCCUGAUCAUUAGGACCAACAGCAAAAUAAGUUUGCCUUUAAUCUAUUCACUGCAUAUCUAAACUUUGAUCAAGCCCAUGGACACACCUGAAGACAUGGGGUUUCCUUCUUCUGGGCACAAUCAUCCUUUGAUCAGUGUCUGCUCUGUAAAACAGGAUUCCCCCUAACUCUACCAACCAGCAGAUGGGAAGUAGUAAUCCACCCGUGGACACUUCCUGCUUGCAGCCCACUGCUCUCUCAGGUUCCAGCAUUUGGAGGCAAACAUGAAGCUCCAUCCUCUCCAAUUCUGGGGCAACCGUGUGGAGAUGAUCAAAAUGCUUCACCUUCAAAACUUUCAAAGGAAGAGUUAAUACAGAGUAUGGAUCGUGUAGAUCGAGAAAUUGCAAAAGUAGAACAGCAGAUCCUUAAACUGAAAAAGAAACAAGUAAAAGUCUUUGCCUAAUA
ensembl:lncRNA novel transcript